rfam:Oryza nivara chromosome 3, whole genome shotgun sequence.
CCUGGUUUUCAUGCCAACAUUUGAUCGGCCGUUUUAUUUAAAAAAAUUAUAAAAAAAAUAAAAUUACAAGUCACGCAUAAAGUAUUAAUCAUGUUUUAUCAUCUAACAAUAAUGAAAAUACGAAUUAUAAAAAAAAUUCAUAUAAGACGGACAGUUAAAGUUGGACACAAAAUCUUAGGGUUUGUCUUUUU